rnacentral:rRNA from 1 species
UACGUAGGGUGCGAGCGUUGUCCGGAUUUAUUGGGCGUAAAGAGCUCGUAGGCGGUUUGUCGCGUCGGCCGUGAAAUCUCCACGCUUAACGUGGAGCGUGCGGUCGAUACGGGCAGACUUGAGUUCGGUAGGGGAGACUGGAAUUCCUGGUGUAGCGGUGAAAUGCGCAGAUAUCAGGAGGAACACCGGUGGCGAAGGCGGGUCUCUGGGCCGAUACUGACGUGAGGAGCGAAAGCGUGGGGAGCGAACAGG